rnacentral:rRNA from 1 species
AAUGAACGUUGGCGGCGUGGAUUAGGCAUGCAAGUCGAGCGAGAAUUUGCGAUUGGAAGCUUCGGCCGAAGAAAGUGAAGGAAAGCGGCAAACGGCGUAGUAAGGCGUAGGUACGUACCCUCGGGUCGGGAAUAGCCAUGGGAAACUGUGGGUAAUGCCCGAUAAUCUCUGCGGAGCAAAGGUGUGAUUCCGCCGGAGGAGCGGCUUACGUGAUAUUAGCUAGUUGGUGGGGUAAUGGCCUACCAAGGCAACGAUGUCUAGGGGGUGUGAGAGCAUGGCCCCCACCGACCGGAACUGAGACACUGU